rnacentral:rRNA from 1 species
CUGUAAGUCUCCUUCGACGAGUCGAGUAGUUUGGGAAUGCUGCUCUAAAUGGGAGGUAUAUGUCUUCUAAAGCUAAAUACCGGCCAGAGACCGAUAGCGCACAAGUAGAGUGAUCGAAAGAUGAAAAGCACUUUGAAAAGAGAGUUAAAAAGUACGUGAAAUUGUUGAAAGGGAAGCGUUUAUGACCAGACUUGGGCUUGGUUAAUCAUCUGGGGUUCUCCCCAGUGCACUUUUCCAGUCCAGGCCAGCAUCAGUUUUCGCCGGGGGACAAAGGCUUCGGGAAUGUGGCUCCCCUCGGGGAGUGUUAUAGCCCGUUGUGUAAUGCCCUGGCGGGGACUGAGGUUCGCGCUUCUGCAAGGAUGCUGGCGUAAUGGUCAUCAACGACCCGUCUUGAAACACGGACCAAGGAGUCGUCUUCGUAUGCGAGUGUUCGGGUGUAAAACCCCUACGCGUAAUUAAAGUGAACGCAGGUGAGAGCUUCGGCGCAUCAUCGACCGAUCCUGAUGUUCUCGGAUGGAUUUGAGUAAGAGCAUACGGGGCCGGACCCGAAAGAAGGUGAACUAUGCCUGUGUAGGGUGAAGCCAGAGGAAACUCUGGUGGAGGCUCGCAGCGGUUCUGACGUGCAAAUCGAUCGUCAAACA